GAUGAACGCUGGCGGCGCGCUUAACACAUGCAAGUCGAACGAUUAAGACCCCUUCGGGGGUGUAUAGAGUGGCGAACGGGUGAGUAACACGUGACUAACCUGCCCGUUACAUCGGGACAACAGCUGGAAACUGCUGCUAAUACCGGAGACGUCUUAUCUUCGGCAUCCCGGCUAAGAGAAAGCCUUUACUGUAAGGGAUGGUGUCGCGUCCGAUUAGAUAGUUGGUGAGGUAAUGGCCCACCAAGGCAACGAUCGGUAGCCGGCCUGAGAGGGUGAUCGGCCACAUUGGGACUGAGACACGGCCCAAACUCCUACGGGAGGCAGCAGUGGGGAAUUUUGCGCAAUGGGAGAAACCCUGACGCAGCGACGCCGCGUGCGGGAUGGAGGCCUUCGGGUUGUAAACCGCUUUCAGCAGGGAAGAUUAUGACGGUACCUGCAGAAUAAGCUCCGGCUAACUACGUGCCAGCCGCCGCAGUAA
rnacentral:rRNA from 1 species